CCUUGGGGAGAAAAAAAUAUACAAUUGCUGUAGCAGAUAAGAAGAGGAGGAUGCAUCAUGGAUGCAGAUUGCAGGGGUCUACCUCAUCCUCAUUUGACCCCAGCACUUGUGCAUGGAGAACACAAAAACAGAUGGAAGCAGGAAAGAAAAAAAAGGAACACGUCGCCCCGGGAACAUGCAUCCUGCUUUGCUCCUGACGCAGCGUAUAAACAGGUGUAUUCAUAAAAUGAUUUGUUAAUAGCAAGCCUCCAAAUUGUCUGAUGGAUACGACCAUUUAUUAAUUUUAUGCAUAUCCACUUGCCCUGACUUUUUCAGCGUGACACUAUUCUACUUGAGCUUUUGUCGAUCGAGCUUAUCCUGAAAUGACAAAAAUGCAGAGAGAUUUUUCAUUUCUGGAUUCAUCCAAUGGAGAAAAAUCCAGUGUGCGAACACUUCAGCUUGUUAGGCAGAAUAAGGUUAAUACAAUGCAUUGCAGUAGCAUUUGGCCUCAUUGGCACCUAACAGGUCAAGAUCUCUGAAGAUAUACACGGCCAUUUUUUCUGAAUUCUGCAACGAGUUGGUUGCUGGUUCAGAAAGACGACACAACCGUUUCCCAUCUCGCUCGGAUCUUCACUGCACUGCAAAAUGCUACUAGCCGGUGUAAAGAGUGCUACUUACAAGUGAUGAUUUCUUCAGUUCUUGGGAGCAAACAGUAACAUUAUCCCAGUGGCUUUACACUUAUUUACUAGUAGAAUGAAUGCAGCUGUACUGAGUACCUCCAAAAUGUAGGGCCUCGUCUAAUGAAUGCCACACUUGCAAAGGUGAAAUUGUAGGGGCCAUGCAAUGCAAGAGGGAGUAGUACUAGAGGAGUUGCUCUCUCCAGUGUUCAGUCUGCACUUGUGCAUCGCUCAAGUUCAGAAAAAUGAAUUUGCCUGUCUGCCUGUUUCCAUGGGAGAAAGGGAACGGCAUGCAUUUACAGUUGCAUUGAAAUGUACUGCUAUCCACGGAGACAGCUCAA